rnacentral:tRNA from 1 species
AGAAAGAUAAGCUAAGAAAGCUAUUAGGUUCAUACCCUAAAUAUAGAAUAGUAUUCUUUUUUCUA